GACAGCGUGGCCGAGGCCUCCAGGGAAACCCUCCUUGCUGCAGCAACGCUCCUCGGGUGGCGAGAGCUCCAAUGCCCAUUGAAGACAAGGCAGACAUGGAGGAUUGCAGAGUGCUUGCUGGAGCGGAGCAGGAAAAGGGCUGAGGAAUACCUGGACCAGAGCGUGCCGUACCUGGAGGAUGCUCAGGCCCCCUUGC